CCAUUCCCAUGUUGAAAUAUUAGGAUUGGAAUCUUAUCAUACACUGAAAUUGCUGUUCAAACUACUAAAUGUGCAAGUGUAGCUAAGUUUUAAUGACAGCAAAGCAUCUAUAAUUUUACCACACUUACUUCUCUGUGAUGAAGGAGAAAAUGGAAUCGUUGUGUAGGCCCGAAACACAUAGCUUGCGAAGAGAUCCGGUGCUUCGAGUGAUGAGCA